rnacentral:rRNA from 1 species
UACGAAGGGGGCUAGCGUUGUUCGGAAUUACUGGGCGUAAAGCGCGUGUAGGCGGGUCUUUAAGUCAGGGGUGAAAUGCGAAGGCUCAACCUUGGAACUGCCUUUGAUACUGGAGACCUUGAGUCCGGGAGAGGUGAGUGGAAUUGCGAGUGUAGAGGUGAAAUUCGUAGAUAUUCGCAAGAACACCAGUGGCGAAGGCGGCUCACUGGCCCGGAACUGACGCUGAGACGCGAAAGCGUGGGGAGCAAACAGG